GUGCCAGCAGCCGCGGUAAGACGAACCGUGCGAACGUUGUUCGGAAUCACUGGGCUUAAAGGGCGCGUAGGCGGGCGAUCAAGUCAGGGGUGAAAUCCGUCGGCUUAACCGGCGAAGAGCUUUUGAUACUGGUCGUCUCGAGGGAGGUAGGGGCAUACGGAACUUCCGGUGGAGCGGUGAAAUGCGUAGAGAUCGGAAGGAACGCCGGUGGCGAAAGCGGUGUGCUGGACCUCUUCUGACGCUGAGGCGCGAAAGCCAGGGGAGCAAACGGGAUUAGAUACCCCAGUAGUCC
rnacentral:rRNA from 1 species